rnacentral:piRNA from 1 species
CUUUAGGGGGUUGGACUGGUAAAU